UACGGAGGGUGCGAGCGUUGUCCGGAAUCACUGGGCGUAAAGGGCGCGUAGGCGGCCUGAUAAGUAGGGGGUGAAAUCCUGCGGCUUAACCGCAGGGCUGCCUUCUAAACUGUCAGGCUCGAGCACAGUAGAGGCAGGUGGAAUUCCCGGUGUGGCGGUGGAAUGCGUAGAGAUCGGGAAGAACAUCAGUGGCGAAGGCGGCCUGCUGGGCUGUUGCUGACGCUGAGGCGCGACAGCGUGGGGAGCAAACAGG
rnacentral:rRNA from 1 species